rnacentral:rRNA from 1 species
CGGUGUUUAACUGGCGUGAUGUGGGACGUCCUACCCGGUGGGCUUAGCCUCGCGAGGGGCGGCCCAACUAAUAUCCCGUCGCGGUGCUCUUUACUGAGUGUCGAGUCGGGCCGGUACGUUUACUUUGAACAAAUUAGAGUGCUUAAAGCAGGCUAUCCUCGCCUGAAUACUGCGUGCAUGGAAUAAUGGAAUAGGACCUCGGUUCUAUUUUGUUGGUUUUCGGAACCCCGAGGUAAUGAUUAAUAGGGACAGAUGGGGGCAUUCGUAUUGCGACGUUAGAGGUGAAAUUCUUGGAUCGUCGCAAGACGGACAGAAGCGAAAGCAUUUGCCAAAAAUGUUUUCAUUAAUCAAGAACGAAAGUUAGAGGUUCGAAGGCGAUCAGAUACCGCCCUAGUUCUAACCAUAAACGAUGCCAGCUAGCGAUCCGCCGAAGUUCCUCCGAUGACUCGGCGGGCAGCUUCCGGGAAACCAAAGCUUUUGGGUUCCGGGGGAAGUAUGGUUGCAAAGCUGAAACUUAAAGGAAUUGACGGAAGGGCACCACCAGGAGUGGAGCCUGCGGCUUAAUUUGACUCAACACGGGAAACCUCACCAGGCCCAGACACCGGAAGGAUUGACAGAUUGAUAGCUCUUUCUUGAUUCGGUGGGUGGUGGUGCAUGGCCGUUCUUAGUUGGUAGAGCGAUUUGUCUGGUUAAUUCCGAUAACGAACGAGACUCUAGCCUGCUAAAUAGGCGUACCUUAUGGUAUCGCGAAGGCCCCCGGCUUCGGCCGGUGGGUUUUUACUACCAACGUACAAACAAAUCUUCUUAGAGGGACAGGCGG